UGGGGAAUUUUGGACAACGGGCGCAAGCCUGAUCCAGCCAUGCCGCGUGGGUGAAGAAGGCCUUCGGGUUGUAAAGCCCUUUCGGCCGGGAAGAAAACGUGCGGGCGAACAGUCUGCAUGGAUGACGGUACCGGAAGAAGAAGCACCGGCUAACUACGUGCCAGCAGCCGCGGUAAUACGUAAGGUGCGAGCGUUAAUCGGAAUUAUUGGGCGUAAAGCGUGCGCAGGCGGCGCCAUAAGACAGCGGUGAAAUCCCCGGGCUUAACCUGGGAACUGCGGUUGUGACUGUGGUGCUAGAGUACGGCAGGGGGAGGUGCAAUUCCUGGUGUUGCAGUGAAAUGCGUAGAGAUCAGGAGGAACACCGAUGGCGAAGGCAGCCUCCUGGGCUGAUACUGACGCUCAUGCACGAAAGCGUGGGGAGCAAACA
rnacentral:rRNA from 1 species